CUUGGUCAUUUAGAGGAAGUAAAAGUCGUAACAAGGUUUCCGUAGGUGAGCCUGCGGAAGGACCAUUACAAGAACCAAGGCUAGUCGCGCCUAAUUCGGGCUUCGUGCCCGCUUUAGGCUGCGGCCCGCUCCUUACCUUGCCUACUGCACCGUUUGUUGCUUCCUGGCGGCGGCUCGCCCGCGCCAGGGACCUUCUUAAAGUCUUGUAUAAGGAUUGAACACUGAUGCACACCUAAAUAAUACAACUUUCAACAAUGGAUCUCUUGGUUCUGGCAUCGAUGAAGAACGCAGCGAAAUGCGAUAAGUAGUGUGAAUUGCAGAAUUCAGUGAAUCAUCGAAUCUUUGAACGCACAUUGCGCCCCUUGGUAUUCCAUGGGGCAUGCCUGUUCGAGCGUCAUCUAAACCCUCUAGCCCCUCGGCUUGGUGUUGGGUGUUUGUCCUUGCUCCCAGAGUGGACUCGCCCUAAAUGCAUUGGCAGCGUCCCCCUAGCCGUACGCGCAGCACAUUGCGCAGUGGGGCAUGGCGUGGUGCGCUUCCAGCAAGUGAACCCCCAAGUUUGACCUCGGAUCAGGUAGGGAUACCCGCUGAACUUAUGCAUAUCAAUAAGCGGAGGA
rnacentral:rRNA from 1 species